GAUGAACGCUGGCGGCGUGCCUAAUACAUGCAAGUCGAGCGAAGCGGGGACGGGUGAGUAACACGUGGGUAACCUCCUAUAAGACUGGGAUAACUUCGGGAAACCGGAGCUAAAACGGAUAAUUAUAGCUGGAUCCGCGCUGCAUUAGCUAGUUGGUAAGGUAACGGCUUACCAAGGCAACGAUGCAUAGCUGACCUGAGAGGGUGAUCUGCCACACUGGAACUGAGACACGGUCCAGACUCCUACGGGAGGCAGCAGUAGGGAAUCUUGCGCAAUGGGCGAAAGCCUGAUGGAGCAAUGCCGCGUGUGUGAUGAAGGCCUUCGGAUCGUAAAACUCUGUUAUUAGGGAAGCGGUACUUGCACAGAAAGCAACGGCUAACUCCGUGCCAGCAGCCGCGGUAAUAC
rnacentral:rRNA from 1 species